rnacentral:tRNA from 1 species
GCCCACGUAGUUCAAUGGAUAGAACAAGGCACUCCUAACGCCUAGAUGGUGGUUCAACUCCUCCCGAGGGCA